GGAGGGAUCAUUAUAGGAAGAUAAACUUCAACAAGUUGUGUGGGGGGGUGGAGUGGUGGGGGAGAGUGCAUACUCUGCACUUUUUCCUCUCAUUCUCUCUCUUUCUCUGCAACUUCAAACAAACGAUCGCAACUACAAUUUAUGUAUUGGCUUGGGGGGGAUACAAAACAACAAGUGUUUGCCUGAUAUUUCACAAGGCCGUUUUAUUAUGGUCGAGGGGAAAAUAAUAUAAACAAAACUUUCAACAACGGAUCUCUUGGCUCUCACAUCGAUGAAGAACAUAGCAAAGUGUGAAAAUUAAUGUGAAUUGCAGAAUUCAGUGAAUCAUUGAGUUUUUGAACGCAUCUUGCACUUCUUGGUUAUUCCAGGGAGUAUGCCUGGUUGAGCAAUGUGAAUACAUCUAUCAAGACAGCAUGUUUCUUUCUUUCUUUUUUCGGGCCUGGCCUGGAGGAGGAAAAGAGAGGGACGUGUGAUGUUUUGGAGUUGAGUGAGAUUAUACCUUGUUGGAUGGAGGAAUUUAUUUCUCUUUUCCAAGGUUCACUUGAAAUGAAGGAAUGAGAAGCGAAGCAAAAGAGACAGAGAUGGGAUGGGAGGAAAGUCUUUUCUUUCCUUUCCUUUCCGCACAGAUAGUGAUUUGGGAGGGGCAGCUCGAGCUUUUCUGAAGCACAAACAAUGACUUGAUUAGGUUCCAGCCUUUGGCUAACUUGAGAGGGGGGAAAAGUCUUGUUUGAGAGGUGCUUUCUCAACUGCCUGUGUCUUCUAUCUUGCCAGCCUCGUGUGUUUUCUCUUCUACAACUAGGAAGCGUGUAUUUUUAAUACACACCACAUUGUAUCAUUCUCAACUCAGGCAAGACUACCCGCUGAAUUUAAGCAUAUAAAUAAGCGGAGGAAAAGAAACUAACAAGGAUUCCCCUAGUAACUGCGAGUGAAGCGGGAAAAGCUCAAUUUUGGAAUCUACCAGGAGUAACAUUCUUGGUCGAAUUGUAGUUUCAAGAAAGAGUGGCUGAGAGAAGUCAGUUGGAUGCAAGUUCGUUGGAAUGAGACAUCAGAGAGGGUGACAAUCCCGUCCACCAUUCUUCUGUUGCUUCUUGCCAAAGGCCCUCUUUUCCAAGAGUCGAGUUGUUUGGGAUUGCAGCUCAAAAUGGGUGGUAAAUUUCAUCUAAAGCUAAAUAUUGGUGAGAGACCGAUAGCGAACAAGUACUGUGAGGGAAAGAUGAAAAGCACUCUGAAGAGAGAGUGAAAAGUACGUGAAAUUGUUGAAAGGGAAACGCUUGAAACCAGUCAAGGUCGGCUAGAAAUCAGGAAAGCUGCAGCUUGGCGGGGAUUUGACAGAGAUUUCUCUUCGUGAGAGACUCCUGUCGGGUUCCUUUUUGCCAGGUUGCGCUCUCUGUAUUUUUCUAGUUGACGAGUCAGCAUCAGUUUGGUGUUUGAGAGAAAAGUAACAGGAUUUGGUUGGGCUUUUGAUGGGCUUUUUGUCCUCGAAGGUUCAAGCCUGCUUGCAAAUGUCAAACAACCCAGACUGAGGACCGCAGCACGGGGCAUUGACUUGGAAUAGGCGUACUUGUGGUGUCGCUCCUAGCAAACAGCUUGCUGAUUGUUGGGAACGCACACCCAAGUCUCGUCAAAUCCAAGCAGGCUUCCGACUUUUGGAUGCUGACGAAAUGGUUUUAAACGACCCGUCUUGAAACACGGACCAAGGAGUCUAACAUGGAUGCAAGUAUUUGGGUGAUUGGAAACCCAUAUGCGCAAUGAAAGUGAACUUUUGAUAGGUAGGACACCUUGGAGGGGUCUCGCGCCUCUCCAAAGUCGCACUAUCGACCAAUGUUGACUAGCUCCGGCUUGAUAGAUUUGAGUAAGAGCAUGCAUGUUGGGACCCGAAAGAUGGUGAACUAUGCCUGAAUAGGGUGAAGUCAGACGAAAGUCUGAUGGAGGCUCGUAGCGAUUCUGACGUGCAAAUCGAUCGUCAAAUUUGGGUAUAGGGGCGAAAGACUAAUCGAACCAUCUAGUAGCUGGUUCCUGC
rnacentral:misc_RNA from 1 species